rnacentral:rRNA from 1 species
UACGUAGGGUGCAAGCGUUGUCCGGAAUUAUUGGGCGUAAAGCGCGUGUAGGCGGCUUAGCAAGUCGGGUGUGAAAGCCCUCAGCUCAACUGAGGAAGUGCGCCCGAAACUGCUGAGCUUGAGUACCGGAGAGGAUGGCGGAAUUCCCCAAGUAGAGGUGAAAAUUCGUAGAUAUGGGGAGGAACACCGGUGGCGAGGCGGCCAUCUGGACGGUCACUGACGCUGAGACGCGAAAGCGUGGGUAGCAAACAGG